rnacentral:snoRNA from 1 species
UAAAUUUAAUGAUGAAACAACAUUUAUCAACAGUUAUCCCUGUCAUAGACAAGAUCAUUGAUGAGAUUAAAUAGUUACUGAUAUUAUA